rnacentral:lncRNA from 1 species
GAAAUAUCGGUAGUCAAAGUGUUCGAAUAUAUGUCUCAGAGCAAAUGAGGUCCAUAAGGGGGGAAGUACAACCAAAAUUCAUUGCCUUUUAAACCGAGCCUAGCUUUGCCCAUUAUAAUGAUUCGGGAAUUUUAAUGAUAGCAACAACAACAAGGUUAUUGAUAUGUUCUAUGUUCAUUUUGUUUUUUCAAUUUCUUAGUCGUAUGGUACCAGUUGAUUUAUGGGAUGUUUUCACAUCGGUUAGUCGAGCCUACCUUAACGCUUCUUUAGGUUUGUAAAUUUUUCUUAUACAUCUUUGCAUAAAUUCCUAGCUGCGCUAGAGGUGAUAUGAUACGUGAAAAUGUAUCGCCAUUCUUCUAGUGGCACACAUGCGAGUUUCUAAAUUAGUUAUUGGUUUCAGUUUUUCAGCAUCAGUGAUCUUCUACAAGUUUUGUCCUCUUGUCCUAGAAAGGAAUUUUUCAGCUGCAAAUACGGGAACCGCUUAAGGGUAUGAAUUACUUGGUCAGACUGCAUAUAUGGUUACCGACUUACUGUGUGCAGUUUACUCAAACUUAAUCUUUUUUGUACGUUACAUAUGAACAGACUUAUUAGUAUGACUUGAAGCUGUGUAAUCGUGACUUUGGCAAAGCAAGUUGAACAUCUGUUUUUUUUUUUCUUUCUAAAAGAUGUUUCUCUGUCAUUUUUAUUUCAUACAUCAUCAUUGAAUUUUGAUUGAAUUUGUAAAUUAACAGUUCAUAUAAAUGCAGGAAAUGUCAUUUAAAGUUGUGAAGGUGCUAAUGACAAAGCUGGGCAGACUUAUGAGUCGGCAAAAGACACUAUCUUCGAAAACCUUGAAGCGGCCAAGGAUAAGUCACUCGAUAUUAAAGACAAUAUGACUGGCUCGAAUAAUAAUCGGAGUCAUGAUGAGAAGCUGUGAAUUUAUAAUUGCAUGGAUGAUGAGUGAUAUAUAUAGUACAAAUGGAUGUAAUCAACAACUCUUAGUCCCAGUAAUUGUUUUUAAUAUUUAUACUCAUC